AUAGCCAAAGCAAAUAAUAAACUUAUUUUCUCUCAAUGAUAAAACAUAAAAAAAAAAAACCCCAAAUCGAAAACCUAUGUCUCUUCAACUCCGACUCCACCACCGUAAAGCUCUUCGCCGACCUCAUUUCAUGUCCAUUCCAUCCUUAUCCUUCAUCCUCCAGCUUGGUUCACAUGGUCGAUUCCUCCGAUACAGAUAACACCAAUCGGGACACGGAUCUAGAUCGAGAUCGAGAGGCCACCAAGUUUGUUUCUGAAUCGUCACGAGGUUUGUUUCAUGGUGAGCUAGAGGUCUUCGCUUCUCAGUGUUUGGGAAUAAUGUUCCUGGAGAGAAGAAGUAUGGUGGUUUCUUUUUCUUUUUCUUCUCUUGCUUCUUCUCUGGCCACAAACUACUCUUUCAUGGUUCUGAAUUCUUACCUCUUGAUAUUGAGAAAAAUCGUAAGCUUACUUUGUCUUAGUUUUGGUAUAUGUGUAAAAAGGCUACUGCCAUGGCUAUUAACCGGAUUUUGAAUCAAACACAGCUUACAUGAAAAAUCAUAUGUUGGUUUCAUCGGAAAUGAGGAUUGUUGUUGUUUUGCCUUUGUUAUAGGGUGAAUGAAUCUUUUGACGCUAGAGAAAUGGAGUAUGUGCGGUUAGUAUCCUCUGUUUGUUGGAUAUAUAUGGUGAGAUCACAUUUGUUUUGAACUUGUAUUCUUUUGGUAAGUUGUGAAGAAGAGAGAGAGAUGGAACCUUAGGAGUCUCUAGAAGUGACGCAGUCAAGGCUCUCUCCUACUCCGUUUCUUACUUUGCCUCAGUCAGGUUCGUCGAAUUCUUUCUCGUAGCUUUCAACUUGUUUAUCUUUUAAGAGAAUAAGUUUUCGUUGCCUCAGUCAGGUUUGGUUUUAUCUCUUAACUUCAGAUGGUCCAUUGAGCUAUAAGUUUUCGUUGCGUCAGUCAGAAGCUUUUGACCGGAGUGGAGUGGUGUAUGUUCUGAUGAACCUUUUCAUGCCCUUAAGGUGUUCGACGAAUUGCCUCAUUAUUGGCUGGCUUGUUUCUUAAUUGUUUUGUGUUGAUUUUGGUUUUGUGGUGUUGCUCUUGAACCUUUCAGGUGCUUACGAUUCUUGUCACUAACCUAUAGAAGAGUAGAGUAGAGUUCUGGUUUAUCUUUGAUGGGGUUUUGUUUCUUACCGUAAGUGAAGAUGUUUCCAACUAGAUCUUACUUUUGCAUCUUUGGGAUGGGUGUUUUUCCCCAGUCUAGAAAUAAGUAAUUUUCUGCUUAAGUUUUUGUUGGAUUUCUUAUCUCUUUUCCUUAAUUUAUGAAAGGUUGUGACUUUAGCAGUUUGAUUAAACAUAUCUAAAUGGGUAUUGAUUUGUUGAUAGUUUAGAGAAAAGUCUUUGACUUUUAGCAGUUUCAUUGAACAAGUCUAUAUGUAACUGAGUUUUAUUACAAUUCAUGAUUGGAUUUCUUAUUUUGUUGAAAGAAAGUAAUGAGUUUUAAACUUAAUUUGGUGCUUGUAGCUCUUCUGUGAAGAAAUACUCAUUGGAUGCUCCUCUACGUCAACCUCUUUUAAGUUAUCUCUCCUCAAGCACAAAGCUUUUACUCUAGAGAUGUUUCAUAUUUGUUAUGAGGAGUGCACUUAUAGUUGUCUCUGCAUUCAGAUAAUUGUGUUCACCAAAAACCCCAAUCGAAGGGAAGAUGAAAAUUAAGAAUUUGCAAAGUCUACGGUUAUCAAGAGCUUUGUAAGGAACUACUCUCGGAACAACUGUGCACUUGAGUUCGUGAACGUUUAUGAGCCAACCAUUUGGAUGUAUCUAGGAAAGCUACGAUUUUUCUACCACAGUCGGCUUUGAAAUCUAUAUUUUCUGUUAUUAGUAAUGUAAGUUAGUAUAAGAAUUGGUAUAAUAUUAUGUAUUACUUGUUUUGGGUAAUGUAAUAUUGUUAUUGUUUAUGUUGAUGAUUUAUGGAAUAUAAAUUUAUUGAUAAA